AUUUCUUUUAGAUUUAUUUCUGUAUGUGUCAUAUUCUCAAUGUCAUUGGUACUACCCUCUCACACCUAAGUGAUCAUCUGGCUUUCCCUAACACAGUUCUUUGAUUUCAUUGAGAACAGCCCUUUGUCAGAUUUAGGUGGCAUAUGUGCUAAUCAUAGUUUAAUUGGUCUCUCCUGUUCUGUGGUGGCUCAGGUGUGAUGCAAAUAAAACAUAUAUGUGCAAUGGAGGUGAUUGGAAUUAUGGUCAACUGACAGGAGGCAUCAACCUUUCAGUGGUUGAAUAGCUGGUUUAUUGGAUAAGACAGGACAAUUACCACAACUGGCCUGUCAGGAUGGUUAGAGCUCCCUAUAGGCUUUGAGGCAGGUGUUUGUGCCUUCAGUUUAAUCUCUUUCUUUCUAGUUCCAGGCUGCAUGCAGCCCUUGGCACCAGCAGAAGCAUUUAUACAGAAACGUGGGUCACCUGGAUGCCUAGCCCAGUGGAUCUGGAUGCUUAUUACCAAACAAGGCAUGAGCUCUCUGCAACGCAAGCUCAAUUUCUCUGGGGGAAAGUAGGUUCCACACCGACCGUGAUGCUUGAACUCAUGACCCUGAGAUCAAGAGUCACAUGCUCUACUAGCUGAGCCAGCCAGGCACCCUCAUUUUCAAUGGUAUAAUUCUCUGCAGGUAUUUUUAUGAACUAAAUGGGUUUGUAAUGAGACUAUUAAUAGGAUGAAUGGAGGAUUUAGAU
rnacentral:lncRNA from 1 species